GAAAUGCGAUAAGUAGUGUGAAUUGCAGAAUUCAGUGAAUCAUCGAAUCUUUGAACGCACAUUGCGCCUCCUGGUAUUCCGGGAGGCAUGCCUGUUCGAGCGUCAUUAAAAACCACUCAAGCUCUUUUGCUUGGUAUUGGAAGAUGAGUAUACUUUGUAUACUUCCUUUCGAAAUUCAAAGGCGUAGAGCCCCAUAUACCAAAGUGUAGUAAGUUUUCUUUCACUUGGAAUGUGAGGUAAUAUUGCCACAAACCCCCAAUUAUUUAUCUAGGUUGACCUCGGAUCAGGUAGGGAUACCCGCUGAACUUAA
rnacentral:misc_RNA from 1 species